CAUGAAGCUGGAAUCGCUAGUAAUCGCGGAUCAGAAUGCCGCGGUGAAUACGUUCCCGGGCCUUGUACACACCGCCCGUCACACCAUGGGAGUCGGAAAUGCCCGAAGUCUGUGACCCAACCUACGGGAGGGAGCAGCCGAAGGNAGGUCGGAUGACUGGGGUGAAGUCGUAACAAGGUACC
rnacentral:rRNA from 1 species